rnacentral:tRNA from 1 species
GGUUGUAGCGCAGUUGGCAGCACGAAGCUGUGGUGACCUUGAGGUCAUGGGUUCAAACCCCAUCACCA